rnacentral:rRNA from 1 species
CCUACGGGGGGCUGCAGUGGGGAAUAUUGGACAAUGGGGGCAACCCUGAUCCAGCCAUGCCGCGUGUGUGAAGAAGGCCCUCGGGUUGUAAAGCACUUUCAGUGAGGAAGAACGCCUGGUGGUUAAUACCCAUCAGGAAAGACAUCACUCACAGAAGAAGCACCGGCUAACUCCGUGCCAGCAGCCGCGGUAAUACGGAGGGUGCGAGCGUUAAUCGGAAUUACUGGGCGUAAAGCGCGCGUAGGUGGCUUGAUAAGCCGGUUGUGAAAGCCCCGGGCUCAACCUGGGAACGGCAUCCGGAACUGUCAAGCUAGAGUGCAGGAGAGGAAGGUAGAAUUCCCGGUGUAGCGGUGAAAUGCGUAGAGAUCGGGAGGAAUACCAGUGGCGAAGGCGGCCUUCUGGACUGACACUGACACUGAGGUGCGAAGGCGUGGGUAGCAAACAGGAUUAGAUACCCGGGUAGUC